UCAAAUAUUCUCUCUUCAUCAGCACUGGUAUUUUUUCCAAUAAUCGGCUAUCUCAUUCAGAUUUACAAAAUUAGAAAAUCAAACAGGGUAGAUGGCUUUUCCACCUCGGUCUGCUACAUUGCUCUAUUCUCUAAUAUUUUCCGAAUUUUGUUUUGGAUUGGAAAUAGGUUCGAAAUUGUACUCGUGUUACAAUCGUGUGUUAUGAUUGUUGUACAACUAUGCCUGUUAGAGCUUUGUACUCGAAUGGAACAUAAUACGGCGCCCUCUUCUUUAUUUAGCGCGAAAUUUUGGAAUUCACCUUUUUCGACACGAUUACAACUCAUAGGCCUCACCACACUGAUGUCACUCAUACUAUGUCACUUGUUUUCAUCUGAUCCGUGGUUCUUCAAAUUGAUGGGAUGUAUAUCGCUAGGCAUCGAGGCCACGUUAGCCAUUCCACAAGCUUACUCAAACUAUUGCAAUAAAAACGUCAGUGGUCUCAGUUUAACGUUGGUUCUCUGUUGGGUAGCUGGGGAUUUAUUCAAGAGUCAUUAUUUUAGGACAAAUAAUGCGCCGACUCAAUUUCUGGUAUCCAGUACGGUCCAAGUAAUAGUCGAUUUUAUUGUACUUUUUCAAAUGUUUUACUAUUCGAAACCGCAACAUUCAUUUUAAGGACAACAAAUCCAUGACAUGAGGCGAUCGUCAUAAGAAUCUGCUACUAAUAAACAUCUGUUGAACUCUGUAGCGAUUUUCUUCUUGCUCAAGUAACGCGAAGCAGAUUCAGAACUAAA